AAUGGAUACAACUAUUUCCUUUUCUAAGAUUAUGUAAAGUGAGAAUGAAGGUGAAAAAAUCUUCAAAUAAUCUAUAAACUGAACAUGUAAAAAAGUACAGUUACAUUAGUUUUUUAAAAUGGUUUGCCAGCUCAAUUGAGAAACAAUGUUGGAUCUCUCAACAGUGCAUUCAAUGUUUGGUGGGAUUUAGCCCUAACCACAUCCCAAAUUAUAGGCCAAAAUAAUUAAAUUGAAAGCAUAAUUGACUUUUG